rnacentral:rRNA from 1 species
GAAGGUGUAUCUAGAAAGACAAAUUAGAGCUUGAAAAGUAAAGCAUUUCAUUUACAUUGAAAAGUAUAUUGUGUAAUUCAAUUUAAUUUGAUAAUAAAAAUUUAUUAAUUUUUUUUUUUUAAAAAUUUAUUUAAUAAAAUUAAUUUUAAAUUAAGUUUUUUUUGUAUAAUAUAUAGAUCAAAUAAUUUAUAUAAUAGUUAAUUAGUAUUGUAAAAGAGUAUUGAAAUAUUUGAAAAAGUUUUAAAUUAAAAGUAAAUUUUAUAUAUUGUACCUUGUGUAUCAGGGUUUAUUAAUUAAAAGUUAAAAAUAUUUAAUUUUUCUCGAAUUUAAGAGGGUUAAUUUAUUAUUUAAUUUUUUGUUUCAUAAAAAUUUAAAAUAAUAAAUUAGAAAUGAAAUGUUAUUCGUUCUUAAAGAUAUCUAGUUUUUUAAGAAAUAAAUUAAAUUUAGAUUAUUAAUAAAUAAUUGUUUAUUUAAAUAAUAAAUUAUUAUUAAUAAUUAAUAUUUUAAGGGAUAAGCUUUAAAGUAAGUUUUAUAAUAAUUUUUUAAUUUAAAAAUUAUAGAUUUAGAAAUAGUCAUUAAUUAUAAAAAUGUUAUAAUUUAUUUUAAAUUAAAAAUAAUUUUUAUUAAUUUAAGUUUUUAUUAAAAUAAUUUUUAAAAUUAUAUAAAAAUUAAAAUAAUGAUAAAAUUAGUAUAUUUUAAUUGUUUAAAAUAAAUAAAUUGAAAGGUUAAAUUAAGGAACUUGGCAAAUAAAUACCCGCCUGUUUAACAAAAACAUGUCUUUUUGAAUAUAAUUUAAAGUCUAAUCUGCCCACUGAAAAAUUUUAAAGGGCCGCGGUAUU